rnacentral:SRP_RNA from 1 species
CUACCCUCGCAACGGGACAGGGUGAACCCCGCCAGGCCCGAAAGGGAGCAACGGUAAGCCCGCCGUCCCGGGUGCGAGGGCUUUUC